rnacentral:rRNA from 1 species
GAUCAUGGCUCAGGAUGAACGCUAGCUACAGGCUUAACACAUGCAAGUCGAGGGGAAACGACAUCGAAAGCUUGCUUUUGAUGGGCGUCGACCGGCGCACGGGUGAGUAACGCGUAUCCAACCUGCCCAUCACUUGGGAAUAACCUUGCGAAAGUAAGACUAAUACCCAAUGAUAUCCCACGAAGGCAUCCGAAUGGGAUUAAAGAUUUAUCGGUGAUGGAUGGGGAUGCGUCUGACUUAG